UACAGAGGGGGCAAGCGUUGUUCGGAAUUACUGGGCGUAAAGGGCGCGUAGGCGGCCCGCUAAGUCGAACGUGAAAUCCCCGAGCUCGACUCGGGAACUGCGUCCGAUACUGGCGGGCUUGAAUCCGGGAGAGGGAUGCGGAAUUCCAGGUGUAGCGGUGAAAUGCGUAGAGAUGUGGAGGAAUACCGAUGGCGAAGGCAGCCUCCUGGGCCAACACUGACGCUCAUGCACGAAAGCGUGGGGAGCAAACAGG
rnacentral:rRNA from 1 species